CUGCCGUGUGAGAUGUGCCUUCUGUCAUGAUUGUGAGGCCUCCCCAGUGAGCCCAUUAAACCUCUUUUUCUUCCCACAGUCAGCUAGUGUGGCACACAGUAGGUGCUUAAUAAAAACAUAGCUACUUUCUAAUUGCUCUGGCGCUCACAUGGAAGUGGCUUGAACAGUAGACGCAUGGGAGAGAGCUGUUCCUGGCAUCCUGAUGGCCUGGUGUGCAUCUCGGGUAAUUCAUACAGUAUCUUACGUUUGCCCUCUCCUUAUUAAUGUCACCCAGCCCUACCUAUUCUAGGCAGCUGCGUUCACUCUGGUGAAGGGGAUAAGUUCUCUGGGAACCUUCAUUUGCUGAGUCAGUGUGGCCACCUAGGGUUUCUGCUUGGAUGUGUUCCUGACACAUCCGCCCCGGUCUCCAGCCCUGGGUGGACAGCUCUGCGUAAGUGUUCCCAUUGCUCCUAGGAAUUCGCUCUAGUCUCAGACCCAACACAUUCAUCCAUCCAUCCAUCCAUCCAUCCAUCCAUCCAUCCAUUCAACA
rnacentral:lncRNA from 10 species